UAUGGUUUGUUUUUUGAUUUCAAUCAUUUCUUUCAAUUUCUGAGCUGAGAUGGUUAAGCUUGAGCUUGAGCAACCACCUCUGGUUGCUACUACUCAGAACAUUAAGAAUUUCGCGUAAUUUAUAUUGGCCGAGCUCGCUUUCUGGGAAGGUGUCGAGAAUGAUUUCGGACACAUACCAGACAGAAUCAAGACAAUACUCAAUUUACUAGGCUAUACAGGUAACUUGAGUAUAGCAUCAUUAAAGGCACAUAUGCUGGAUGACAUUGAAAAGGAUUUGCUGCAGCUUCCAGCCUCCAUUUUGUUCGGCGACGCCAUACACUAGAGUACAAAACAUUUGAUAACAGAUACACUAAGGAUCAUGAAGAUUUUGAGCACAAUAUUCAGUUCUCCAAUAAAUGCUGGAAAAAUUGUCACUGAUUCGCCAUUGCUGGAGCUGUACUCAAGUCUACAGCGAUCAAAGAUAUAUCGUUCUAAAGGUAUGCGUUAUUCAACGUUUGAAAAGGAUUUGCUAGCAUAUGAGUUCAGGAAAACUGGAAACAGUUUUUACAAAUACCGAGCAUCAAAUAAGCAUUCCGCAAGCCAUUCAGUUUUGCACAAACACAUUAGGAAUAAUACAACCGAUACAACAGAAUGAAUGCUAUUAAUUGAGCCGCUUCGAAAAUAUCUACAGUCUCAGGGUUUACCUUUUGUGGUAAGCCUAAGCAAAGAUGCAACUAGUAUUGUUCCAAAACCAGGAUAUGAUCUUCGUACAGAUUCUCUCUCCGGUUUGGUGCCGCUUUUUGAUAAUAAUGGUAUGCCCAUAAUGAAUCAAUUUCGAAUGAAGUCUGCGCAGCACAUGUUACACGUUUUGAAAAACUGCUGUAGGAACACUGACAUAUGAUUCUCGCUACUCCUAUGCAGCUUAAUGCAGCUCCAUUUUGUAUUUGAUACGCCUGUGCGGAUACUAAUUUCGAUCAUGAAGUGGUUCUUAAACGAUGGAAGUAUGUUGAAAAUAAAUUAAUGGAAGUUGGAAUUAAGGUUAUAAGCAACUGUUCUGACGGUGAUCCUAAGUUUUUGAAGGCGAUGAUUAAACGUACUAAUUCAAGUGAACCCAAGCCAAAUAUGCGAUGAGGAUAUUGGUUUCGAAUAGCG